GCACGAAAGGCGCAACGAUCUGGGCACUGUCUCAACGAGAGACUCGGUGAAAUUAUAGUACCUGUGAAGAUGCAGGUUACCCGCGACAGGACGGAAAGACCCCGUGGAGCUUUACUGCAACCUGAUAUGGAAUGUUUGUACCGCUUGUACAGGAUAGGUAGGAGCCGAAGAGACGUGUGCGCUAGCAUACGAGGAGGCAAUGGUGGGAUACUACCCUGGCUGUAUGACCAUUCUAACCCGCCACGCUUAGCGCGUGGGGAGACAGUGUCAGGUGGGCAGUUUGACUGGGGCGGUC
rnacentral:rRNA from 1 species